UUUUUGCAGAAUUGAAAGGGCAAGCUCCUGGACUCUACCUCAGCCAAUCAGGACCAGGUUCUACUUCAGCCAAUUGGAACCUGGAUCCUAUUUCAGCCAAUCGGGACCCGGAUCCUAUUUCAGCCAAUUGGAGUUUGGUCUCUCUCUCUCCUCCAGUCAGCAAAAAGUGCACCCACCACCCCUAGACUCUGCCAAUUGACCAAAGCCAUGACCUAUCACCCCACCAACUACCCCCAGGCCCAGCCAAUCAGCCAGGGCCAUGACCAUCACCCCACAAACUGCCCUAGAAACACAUAAAACCUUUGUUCUUGGAAAACUCGCUCUCUCUCUGGUGCCUGGCCACUGCGUUGGCACCGGUGUGAGAUUGAGCUUGGGCUAGCUUGAAUAAAGGCUCUUUGCUUUUGCAUCUGUGUUGGCUCCUUGGUGGUCUCCUUGGGAUUCGUGACUUUGGGCACAACAUUUUGGGGGCUCAUCUGGGAUCCCGGAGACCCCCAGGACUCCUGACCCGUGGGGGCCUAGUGCCGGCUGGUGAGUCUACUCAGUUAUCUGUCUGUCUUUGUCUACCUGUGUCUCACUCUGUCUCACUCUGUCUUUGUCUAUCAGUGUCUCACUGUUUUUGUUCAUGAACAAGCCUGUAUAAGCCUGUAGGAGCUCCAAUCUGUAUCUGGGUCGGCAUUGACUUAGGCAGACGCACUGGCAGGUCACCGACCAGGGGUCUUGGGAGACGUCCCUUGCCCCCGUCUGGAGGACGAGGUCCUCAUCUGUGAGGAAAGUCGGCUGCCACUGCAGUCCGACAGACCCUCAACUUACUUUCAGUUUUGCCUCCUUUAUCUCUCAUGACAGACCAUUUUUCAGAUGUUAGGGAGAGAGCUCACAAUUUGAGCACGGACAUCAAGAAGGGAAAAUUUCGUGCUUUCUGCACCUCUGAGUGGCCGUCCUUUAACAUUAGAUGGCCGCCGGAGGGAACUUUUAUUCUAACCACCCUUUUACAGGUGAAAGGUGUUAUCUUCAGGAAAGGAGCCUAGGGCCAUCCAGGCCAAAUUCCCUACAUCUUAGUCUGGCAGGACCUAAUUGAAAACCCUCCCUCGUGACUUAAACCUUUCCUUCCAUCCAGGGCAGACCCCACGUCCAAAGUCUUGGCCCUACAAGGUCCAGUCCCAAAGUCUGGGAAAGACUCAGGACCUAAAGAAACCAAACCAUCCCUUACCCAGUUCUGCAGGACACCAGCUCAGAGGAGUUGAUCUUUCCACCACCCUAUCAGCCCCUCCCAACCACCCUGCCAGCAGAGCCAGCAGAACCAGAUGGAGGGGAACUAGUUCCAGAAGAACCAGUUCCUAUUCCUGAAAGAGGAGCGCCUGCGCAUGGACCUGCGGCAGGGACACAGGGCCGGGUCCAUCGGGCGGCCCUCAGUCAAGGACCCACUGACUCAACUGUCCUUCCCCUGCUUGCCACAGGGCCCCCUGAUGAAACAGGAGAACGGCCAAAGCACUAUUGGCCGUUCUCCACUAGCGACCUCUCUAACUGGAGAACUCAGAAUGUUAAGUUCUCAGAAAAUCCCAAAGAUCUUAUUAACCUCUUAGACACUGUUGUUUUUACCCAUCAGCCCACUUGGGAUGAUUGUCAACAGCUCUUACAGGUUCUUUUUACCAUUGAGGAGAGAGAAAGGAUCCAGGUGGAAGCCUGGAAGUCAGUUCUGGGUGACAAUAGACAGCCCACCCAGAACCCAGCGCUCAUCAAUGCUGCUUUUCCCCUCUCUCGUCCAAACUGGAACUACAAUUGAGCAGAAGGUAAGGAGAGACUCCAGGUCUAUUGCCAGACUCUGUUGGCUGGUCUCAGGGCAACUACACGCAAGCCCACUAAUUUGGCUAAGGUAUAUAAUGUACAACAAGGCAGGGACGAAAGCCCAGCGGCAUUUCUAGAGAGAAUCAUGGAGGCUUUUAGACAAUACACCCCCAUGGAUCCUGAAGCUCUAGAGAAUAGGGCUGCUAUAGUUAUGGCUUUCGUUAACCAAGCCACUCCAGACAUAAAGAGAAAAUUACAGAGAGUGGAGAGAUUAGGAGAAAAGAACUUGCAGGACCUGGUAGUGGUGGCAGAAAGAGUUUUUAAUAAUUGAGAGAGCCCGGAAGAACUACAGACGAGAAUAAAUGACCGCCAAACUUGAAACUUGGCUAAAAUACUGCUGGCUACGACUGCAGAUAAUCCUCAGGAGUGACAGAGACACCUUAAGAAACUGGCCACUGGACAAGGUAAGGAAGACCUCACCCGAGGGAACUGCCCUAAGUUAAAUAAGAACCAGUGUGCCUAUUGCAAAGAGGAAGUCCAUUGGGUCAAAGACUGUCCUAACAAAAGACCCCAAAAGGCCCCCAUUACUAUCCUGGGUACUGAAGGCAUUGAUGACUAGGGGUGAUGGGGUUUGGCACCCCUCCCCGAGCCCAGGGUAACCCUAAAAGUGGAGGGGCAACCUAUAGAAUUCCUUGUGGACACCGGAGCUCAGCACUCUGUUCUAUUAAAACCCCAGGGAAAAUUGGCAGAUAAAACCUCAUGGGUACAGGGAGCUACUGGGAUGAAAUGAUAUUCAUGGACUACCCGAAGAACAGUGGACCUCGGUGUGGACCUCGGUGUGGGCCAGGUAUCCCACUCGUUCAUGGUCAUCCCAGAAUGCCCCUACCCCUUAUUAGCCCAAGACUUGCUCACCAAGGUGGGGGCACAAAUCAGCUUCCACCCAGAAGGAAUAAAAAUUCUAGACAAAGAAGGACAUCCAAUACAGGUGCUCACUGUAAGUCUUGAAGAUGAGUACCGCCUGCACCAGGCACCCUUACCACCAAUGCAUGACUUAGAAUAUUGGCUACAGACAUUUCCCCAAGCUUGGGCUGAGACAGGGGGAGUGGGAUAAGCUCAACAUAGGCCAGAAAUAUUUAUAGAACUGAAAGCAGGCGCGGAUCCAGUUAGGGUCCAACAAUACCCAAUGCCACUCUAAGUAAGAGCUGGAAUCACUCCACACAUUAGAAGGUUACUCGAGUUAAGCAUACUAAGUCCUUGCCAGUCAUCAUGGAAUACCCACCUAUUACCAGUCCAAAAGCCAAACUCAACUGACUAUUGACCAGUCCAAGACUUGCGGGAGGUAAACAAGUGAGUGACAGAUGUACACCCAACGGUCCCAAAUCCGUAUACCCUCCUCAGCUCAUUGCCUCCCACCCGAAUCUGGUAUACAGUCCUAGAUUUAAAAGAUGCCUUUUUCAGCUUGCCCCUAGCACCUAAGAGCCAGAACAUCUUUGCCUUUGAGUGGACGGACCUGCAAAAAGGGAUUAGUGGCCAGCUCACCUGGAUCAGCCUCCCCCAAGGAUUCAAGAACUCGCCCACCAUCUUCGAUGAGGCCCUACAUGAAAAUCUGAGUGAGUUCCGAUCUAAACAUCCAGAAUUAACUCUUUUACAGUAUGUAGAUGAUAUCCUGGUAGCCACUGAAGACCAGGAGAGAUGCCUGCAAGGAACCAAGGACCUGCUUUCAACACUAGGAGCCUUGGGUUACCGAGCCCAAAUCUGCAAGACAGAGAAUUCUGUUCCAGACACCCACUUCCCUGAACCCAGCCACCCUCCUCCCUGACCUGGACUGGGAGGCACCACUCCAUGACUGUGGAGAAAUCCUGGCUCAUGUUCACGGAGUCAGAACUGACCUGCGAGAUCAGCCACUGGCAGAAGCAGAUGCCACAUGGUACACCGAUGGAAGCAGCUUCAUGCAAGACAGAGUAAGGUAUGCAGGGUCAGCUGUAACAACUGAGACAGAAACUGUCUGGGCUGAGCCACUGGCUCCAGGGACUUCAGCCCAGUUGGCAGAGCUGAUCGCGCUGACUAGAGCAUUGACUAUGGCCAAAGGCAAAUGCCUUAAUGUCUAUAUGGACAGUAGGUAUGCAUUUGCCACUGCCCACAUACAUGGAGCCAUCUACAGAGAGAGUGGGCUAUUAACUGCAGAGGGAAAAACCAUCAAAAAUAAAGAAGAAAUUCUUGGCCUCCUAUGGGCCCUUUGGCUACCCAAAGCCCUGGCUAUAAUUCAUUUCCCAGGCCAUCAAAAAUCUGACACCCUGAUUGCCAAAGGAAAUAGACUAGCAGACCAAUGUGCCAGACAGGCAGCCCUUUCAGUGGACCAUGCCCUAGUGACCACGUUGCCAGACCCAGGGGCCCCUAACCUCCCAGACACCCCCUCCUACACUGAUAAAAACACAAAAUGGAUCAAGCAGCUACCCAUGACCAACUACCUAAAUGGGUGGUGGAGAGCUGCCAACUGCAUCAUUCUACCGGAAGAGCUAGGACAAUAUGUCCUGACCAAAUUGCAUUGGGCUACACACAUGGGGAUGAGAAAAAUGGAAGACUUGGGGCGACAUGCUCACAUCACUAUCAGAGACUCGAUCAAAAAUUGGACAAAUCGUAGCAAGCUGCAAGGCUUGCCAACUGACAAAUGCGACUGCCCAAGGGCCCAACCCUGGUACCAGACUCUGAGGAAACAGACCAGGCGCCUAUUGGGAAGUAGAUUUUAUGGAAGUAAAGUCUGGAAAAUAUGGGUACAGGUAUUUGCUAGUGUUUGUAGACAUUUUUUUAGGUUGAAUCGAGGCAUUUCCCACCAAACAUGAGACAGCGCAGACCGUGGCCAAGAAGUUGUUAGAAGACAUCCUGCCAAGGUAUGGUUUUCCUGCCAAGAUAGGUUCAGACAAUGGACCAGGAUUUGCUUCCCAGGUAACUCAGGGAGUAGCACAGAUUCUUGGGGUGGAUUGGAAAUUACAUUGUGCAUAUAGGCCCCAAAGUUCAGGACAGGUAGAAAGAAUGAACCAAACUUUAAAAGAGACCUUGACUAAAUUAGCCCUAGAGAGUGGCGGAGACUGGGUAACUCUCCUUCCCUUUGCCCUUUAUCGAGUGCGUAACUCCCCAUAUAAGAUGGGACUUACUCCCUUUGAAAUCAUGUAUGGCAUUCCUCCACCUAUUAUUCCCACUCUCAUACCCAAAGUACUUGCUGAAUUUGAUGAUCAACUCCUUUUUUCCCUCCAAGUGUUGCAACGAACCCAUGAGCAGGUCUGGCCUAAGCUGAAAGCUCUUUAUGAGACUGGACCCCCUCCAGAACCACACCGCUAUCGUCCAGGUGACUGGGUGUACGUCCAGAGACACCAACACCAGACACUGCAACCACGCUGGAAGGGACCCUACAUCAUGAUCCUGACCACUCCCACUGCUCUCAAAGUUGACGGGAUUACUUCCUGGGUCCACUGCACCCAUGUCAGACCAGCUGACCUACACGCCAUUCUCAAAGACUGUUCCAGGAUGGAAAAGUCAGCCGGACAAAAGCAAUCCUCUAAAGCUAAGACUGCACCAUUCUCACUUACCCCACUAAUGUUGCUUAUACUAUGCCUUCUUCAUGCCAAAACCCGUGACCCUAACCCUCAUACCCCUAUAAUAGUACAUGGCAAAUCAUUACCCCAGCUUCCCACCAAGUAGUAGUCCAGUUAAAGGGACAAUACCCUAGGGGGACCUGGUGGCCUACCCUCACUGUGGACCUGUGCACUCUCUUCAAACAAGACCCUUGGCACGAAGGUAGAAUAGGGAUACCAGGAUGUGGUACUCAGGCUUCCAUGAAAGAACUCCAAAAUACCUGCUUCUAUAUAUGUCCAGCCCCCUCAACCAACCAUGCCAAGGUCUCACAGUGUGAUGGGUGGACAAAUUUUUUCUGUAAAAAUUGGGGUUGUGAGCAGACUGGGACAUGCCAUUGGCUGACAGGAAAGCCUCCCCCAGGCCUCAUAAAAAUCCAACGAAAUACAACUCACACCCAAUGCACGACUAAUCCCACCUGCAACCUAAUUGACAUCUCCUUUACAGAUGCAGGAAAAAAAGAAACAAACUGGGAAAUAGGGCUUAUGUGGGGACUACGACUCUACCAGAGUGGAUAUGAUAAUGGAGUCUUGUUUAUGCUCAGGAUACUUGAAAGGCCUCUAGCCAGGUCCCAGAGAAUAGGCCCAAAUCCUGUGCUAGCACCUCCUCCACCCAAAUUUCAGACAACCACAACGCCUAUCUCCCCAUCGCCCUCCCCUAUACCUGCUAUGACAUUCGCCCUCCCUUCUAUGAGGGAAUCGUGAUUUUGGGUCAGUACAACACAACUUCUGACCCUAAUGCCUGUAGAUGGCACCAGAGAACUCAAGGACUAACUUUACAGUCAGUGUCAGGUCACGGCCUCUGUUUAGGAUACCCCCCCUUCAAUAUCAACCCCUCUGUAAUACAACCAUAAACCCCUCCAGUCCGGACUAUUAUGUACCCACCCCAAGAAAGUUGGUGGGCCUGCUCGACAGGCCUGUCACCUUGUGUCCACGGGCAGGUGUUAAAUAAGACUAAAGGAUCCAGCUUCUCCCUAAAAUCAUAUAUCACUCAGAAGAAGAAAUAUAUCAGAGAUAUUCGAGUGAAAUCGGACGCACUAAGAGAGAACCCAUUUCAGCAUUAACUAUUGCAAUGCUCUUUGGAAUAGGGCUGACAGGGGUUGGGACUGCAGUAGCUUCAUUAACAGUGCAGAGCUCCCAUUAUAAUAGCUUGAGAGCUGCUAUAGAUUUAGACCUCGAGAGAAUAGAAACCUCCAUCUCCCACCUUCAGGAAUCUUUAACCUCUUUGUCAGAAGGUGUUCUUCAGAACAGGAGAGGUUUAGACUUAAUUUUCUUACAGCAAGGGGGGUUAUGCGCAGCCCUGGGGGAAGAAUGCUGUUUCUUUAAAGAUCACUUGGGAAUUGUCAAAGAAUCUAUGGCUAAAGUCCGAGAAGGCUUAGCCAAACGUAAGAGAGAAUGGGAACAACAACAAGGAUGGUUUGAAUCUCUAUUUAACAAUUCCCCAUGGUUAACAACCCUAGUCUCCACCUUAAUGGGCCCUCUAGUAAUACUGUUACUUCUACUUACCUUUGGACCCUGUAUCCUCAAUAGACUGAUGACUUUUGUCAAAAAUAGAAUUAAUACAGUUCAGCUGAUGGUGCUAAGACAACAGUAUCAGCCUUUAUCUCCUUACAACUGUGAAACCUCAUUGGACCCAUGAUUGGGUCCCUUUUUAAGAUCCAAAGAAAGGGGGAAAUGAAAGGGCAAGCUGCUGGACUCUACCUCAGUCAAUCAGGACUGGGUUCUACUUCAGCCAAUUGGAACCUGGAUCCUAUUUCAGCCAAUUGGAGCUUGGUCUCUCUCUCUCUCCUCCAGUCAGCAAAAAGUGCACCCACCAUCCCUAGACUCUGCCAAUUGACCAAAGCCAUGACCUAUCACCCCACCAACUACCCCCAGGCCCAGCCAAUCAGCCAGGGCCAAUCACCAUCACCCCACAAACCGCCCUAGAAACCCAUAAAACUUUUGUUCUUGGAAAACUCGCUCUCUCUUUGGCACCUGGCUACUGCGUUGGCACGGAUGUGAGAUUGAGCUCGGGCUAGCUCGAAUAAAGGCUCUUUGCUUUUGCAUCUG